AUGCAGCCGGAGACGCCGGAGCGUAUGGCACCGCCGCCGGGAAACGCGUUGCACGCACGUCCGGACGAGACGGCAGCACAGGCGGCGCAGGACGUAGACGCGUUCAAGCCCGACGACGGCUGCACCACGCCGCCGCCACUGCCGGCCCACGGCUCGGGUGACGACCGCGUGGCGGCGAGCAAGAGUGGGAAGCGGGCGGGCGUGGCCGCCGCCAGGUCGAGGCUGCUCGCGUUCCGGUCGUUCGCACGGGGCAAGAAGUCUGGGGACGCGGCGCGCGCGCCGUCGCCGGGCGAACACCUGCCGGCGCACGGUAAGGCGUGGGAGGAGGCCGGUGCGGAUGACAAGGACAAGGGCCAGGCGAGGUGGAAAAGGUUUUGGAAGUGA
rnacentral:rRNA from 1 species